AUCUGUCCUCCAAUGAGCUGACUUAUAUACAUAGGGGUACAGUGGAAGGACUCACAGAUAAGCUCAAUAACUUGUACCUUCAAAGAAACCAGCUAGAAACAAUAGGUGAUGGCACUUUGAAUCGAUUUAAAAACCUCCAAAAAUGCUGGUUGGCCAAUAACAAGCUAACAUCUGUACCAGAUUUAACAGGUCCUAGGACUAUUAAUUCCUUACGCCUACAAGAGAAUGAGAUCACAGAUUUAUCAAGAAUCGCCACAUCUGGAAUUGAACACGUGUAUGACCUGUAAGUG